UGGGGGAUAUUGCACAAUGGGCGAAAGCCUGAUGCAGCGACGCCGCGUGGGGGAUGAAGGCCUUCGGGUUGUAAACUUCUUUUGCUCUGAACAAGGCAUGCUAAUGGGUGUGUUGAGUGUAGGGGUUGAUUAGCGCCGGCUAACUACGUGCCAGCAGCCGCGGUAAUACGUAGGGCGCGAGCGUUGUCCGGAAUUAUUGGGCGUAAAGGGCUUGUAGGUGGCUGGUUGCGUCUGUCGUGAAAGCUCAUGGCUUAACUGUGGGUUUGCGGUGGGUACGGGCUGUCUUGAGUGCAGUAGGGGAGGCUGGAAUUCCUGGUGUAGCGGUGGAAUGCGCAGAUAUCAGGAGGAAUACCGGUGGCGAAGGCGGGUCUCUGGGCUGUUACUGACACUGAGGAGCGAAAGCAUGGGGAGCGAACAGG
rnacentral:rRNA from 1 species